GAGCGGACAUCAGAGUGUUGCCUCUCGAUGGUUAGCGGCGGACGGGUGAGUAACACGUAGGCAACCUGCCCAUAAGACGGGGAUAACCCACGGAAACGUGAGCUAAUACCCGAUACGCAUUGUCCUCGCAUGAGGGCAAUGAGAAAGGCGGAGCAAUCUGUCACUUAUGGAUGGACCUGCGGCGCAUUACCUUGUUGGUGAGGUAACGGCUCACCAAGGCGACGAUGCGUAGCCGACCUGAGAGGGUGAUCGGCCACACUGGGACUGAGACACGGCCCAGACUCCUACGGGAGGCAGCAGUAGGGAAUCUUCCGCAAUGGACGAAAGUCUGACGGAGCAACGCCGCGUGAGUGAUGAAGGUUUUCGGAUCGUAAAGCUCUGUUGCCAGGGGAAGAACGCCAAGGAGAGUCACUGCUCCUUGGGUGACGGUACCUGAGAAGAAAGCCCCGGCUAACUACGUGCCAGCAGCCGCGGUAAU
rnacentral:rRNA from 1 species